CCGGUCCACCCCCCCUCUGGCUCUCUGCUUCUGCACCUGCGUGUGCUAGCGCGAGCGCGUGCGUCCCUUCCCCGGCACGAGCGGCGCACACCGUCACAUCCGCGCUCCGUUCGCCUUCCAGAAAAUUUAAACCCCAGCGGAGCCGGCCACGGCCAGUCAGCCGCCACACGGUCUCCGACGCGCUGCCCGCUCGCCUGCCAAACCCCCACCCCCUCGGCGGCGAUGCUGACACGUCGCCGUAGCAACCACCCGGGCUGCUCCUUCCCCCUCCCGUUCCUCGUCUGCGGCCUGCUCCUCGCUGCGGCCGUCGCAUUUUCCCCAGCUGCGGCCGCCGAAGCAGCUGACGGCGGCGCUGGGCACGAGGGCCGCGCGGGGAAACCGGAGGUAGAGGCCGAGGCGGAGGCGCGCGGGGAUGGGGUUGCCGUGGCGGAAGCCGGCGGCGAGGUGGUGGCUCAGGGCAAUGCCACGGAGGCCAAGGAGGGCAGCCUUGCCGACAUGAUCGACCGCGCGCUGGAGAAGGAGUUCCCGGAGUCCGAGGGCGAGCAGGGCGGUGGAGAGACCGACCCUGGCAGCUUCAACAACACGGUAGCUGAGAAGCAGGGAGUUCUUGAAACUGUAGCUAGAAGAGUAACAAAGAAGAAUGAAACCAAAGAUAACAAGUCAUUUCCUUUUAAGGAGGUUUUCUUGGAUCGAACUGAGCAAGAGGAUGUUCCCACGUUGAUAGAUCGGAAGGAUAAUGUUUUUAUCAUCUCAAACCCAAAGUCAAAAUACCCUGUGCUGCAGCUGGACCUUAGGUUGAUAUCAGAUCUUGUUGUUGUUAUCGUAUCCGCUACAUGUGGUGGAAUUGCCUUUGCUUGCCUUGGGCAACCGGUGAUUACAGGUUAUCUACUUGCAGGAUCUAUAAUUGGGCCUGGAGGUUUUAGCUUUGUCAAUGAAAUGGUGCAAGUUGAAACGGUAGCCCAGUUUGGUGUGAUAUUUCUCCUGUUUGCAUUGGGACUUGAGUUUUCUACUGCAAAACUUCGAGUUGUUCGUGCUGUUGCUGUUCUCGGAGGAUUGCUCCAAAUUAUGUUGUUCAUGUUUCUUUGUGGUAUUUUGGCUACCCUAUGUGGAGGCAAAACUAAAGAAGGUGUUUUUGUUGGUGUUCUUCUCUCCAUGUCUUCAACAGCUGUCGUUUUAAAGUUUCUGAUGGAAAGAAAUAGUAUCAAUGCUCUUCAUGGCCAGGUUACAGUCGGGAUACUUAUAUUGCAGGAUUGUGCUGUUGGCCUGCUGUUUGCGCUUCUUCCAAUUUUGAGUGGUACAUCUGGCCUUCUUCACGGAGUUGCAUCAAUGAUGAAGUCGCUGGUGGUAUUGAUAACAUUCCUGACCAUUCUCUCUAUCCUCUCCCGUACCGGCGUUCCUUGGUUUCUUAAACUGAUGAUAAGUCUGUCAUCACAGCAAUCUUAUGUUCUGGUUGCUCUGCAUGUCACACAGACAAAUGAACUAUAUCAGCUGGCAGCAGUUGCAUUCUGCUUGUUAUUUGCUUGGUGUAGUGAUAAGUUGGGCCUGAGUCUCGAGUUGGGUUCUUUUGCAGCUGGAGUAAUGAUAUCAACAACAGACCUUGCACAACAUACUCUUGAACAAGCUUGUUCUUUCUGCAGAUCGAACCCAUCCGCAACUUUUUCGCUGCUCUUUUCCUUGCCAGCAUUGGGAUGCUAAUUAAUGUCCAUUUCUUGUGGAACCAUGUGGAUAUACUCCUUGCAGCAGUAAUUUUGGUGAUCACCGUAAAGACCUUUAUUGUUGCUAUUGUUGUAAAAGGGUUUGGGUAUAGCAACAAAACAUCUCUUCUUGUCGGCAUGUCACUUGCACAAAUAGGAGAGUUUGCUUUUGUUCUCUUAAGCCGUGCUUCAAGUAUUCAUCUAAUCGAGGGCAAGCUAUACCUGCUUCUUCUUGGAACCACUGCACUUAGUUUGGUGACAACCCCUCUGCUAUUCAAAAUGAUCCCUGCAAUGGUCCACCUCGGGGUUCUUUUGAGAUGGUUUUCUGUCGAUACCAAUCAGGUGGAGGUACACGAUCAUACCACUGGGCCUGAAAAAUGAUGUCCUCCGCAUCGAUAGCGGCAAGCGCAUAAAUCUGAUAGUCCAAGGCUCACAUGACUCAUGACACAUUUGACACACUGCAAGCUACUUUUUGUAUGGCUUAAGUUUACAAGCUCUGUAAAGUGUUUUCACCUGUACUGAAGAGUUUCUAGCAGAUAUACGAGGGUGGAGGCAAGAGAACUCAACUCAGAUCUUGCUCCUAGUGCAAGAUCAAUCCUCCCCCGUCAUGACGGCUGCAAGGGCAAAGUCGGGUUUUGCCGUUCUUGAGAGCAGUGUGUCUUGGAUGAUUGGUGCAGUGAGUGGCUGUCGACCCCAAAUGAGGGUCUCGUGUAACAUAUGAAUGUAUGGUGAUUAAUUAAUUGGAUUAGCAUGAUAGGAUGUAGGCCUGAUCCUCAGUAAAGGUUAUGCCCUUGUGUUCUUUCACCAAAGUUGUGUAUCCUCACUACACGAAAGUGUGUACGACAUCCAUCAGAUCACGAAUUUUGUUGUGUAGCCAUAUAUGUCAGUUUCUUAACAUGUCCAAGUUCAUGAGUUUUUUUUUCCUCACGGGAAGCUUUUGAGUAACCUUUGUUCAGAUAUCACUUUGUUGGAUCGAGUCCAGGAUCUCAAUGAUGGGUGUGUUUCAAUGAA